rnacentral:sRNA from 1 species
UUACGGCCAGGACAUCGGCGCGGGCCUA